rnacentral:tRNA from 1 species
GAUUAAAUGGCUGAAGUUUAGGCGAUAAAUUGUAAAUUUAUUUAUGGGAAAUAAUUCUCUUUAAUCA